rnacentral:rRNA from 1 species
CAGUAGCCGCGGGAAUACGAAGGGGGCUAGCGUUGCUCGGAGUUACUGGGCGUAAAGGGAGCGUAGGCGGACAUUUAAGUCAGGGGUGAAAUCCCGGGGCUCAACCUCGGAAUUGCCUUUGAUACUGGGUGUCUUGAGUAUGAGAGAGGUGUAUGGAACUCCGAGUGUAGAGGUGAAAUUCGUAGAUAUUCGGAAGAACACCAGUGGCGAAGGCGACACACUGGCUCAUUACUGACGCUGAGGCUCGAAAGCGUGGGGAGCAAACAGGAUUAGAUACCCCGGUAGUCCCUGUCUCUUAUAC